rnacentral:sRNA from 1 species
GCCUGAUCCAUUAAGGAUCUUGGGGUCUCAUUAUAAAGUGGUCCAAAAGGGACCCAGUACAGUUAUAAGGAGCAGUAAAGUGAAACAAGGAACAGUAAAAUGGUUUAAUGCAUCCAAGGGGUUUGGUUUUAUUGAGCAGGACAAUGGCGCAGACGUGUUUGUUCAUUUCUCCGCGAUCAAGUCCGAUGGCUUCAAAUCCCUGGAAGAAGGUGCACGUGUAGAGUUCGAAAUUGUCGAUGGCGCCAAGGGCCCGGCAGCCGCGAAUGUCAUGCAGGUGUAGGAUCUUCAGCUAGACCGACAAAAAAGCCCCGCCAUCCGCGGGGCUUUUUUU